GAGAGUGUAUAGUCAUGGGUUCUGCC
rnacentral:piRNA from 1 species